rfam:Gossypium raimondii chromosome 4, whole genome shotgun sequence.
AUCCCACGGUGAGGGCAAUUCCUUAAUAAUUCCUUAAAUCGCUCCCAAGCCUCAUAUAAGGAUUUGUCAUGAAGUUGCUACAAUGUAGUAAUCUCAUUUCAAAGGUU